rnacentral:misc_RNA from 1 species
UCACGAAUCUUUGAACGCACAUUGCGCCCUCUGGUAUUCCGGAGGGCAUGCCUGUCCGAGCGUCAUUGCUGCCCUCAAGCACGGCUUGUGUGUUGGGCCCCGUCCUCCUUCCGGGGGACGGGUCCGAAAGGCAGCGGCGGCACCGCGUCCGGUCCUCAAGCGUAUGGGGCUUUGUCACUCGCUUUGUAGGCCUGGCCGGCGCUUGCCGAUCAACCAAACUUUUUAUCAGGUUGACCUCGGAUCAGGUAGGGAUACCCGCUGAACUUAAG